rnacentral:lncRNA from 10 species
CUUGUCUCCUAAGAGUGCGGCUUCUUUGAACAAUGCCAUGGUUUUUUCUCGUAUAGUCCUGCUUUGUUAGGGGUUCCGUCCUUCCCUAUUCUAAGCUGUUUCUUUCCAUGUGGGAAGACCUUGACUAGGAUGAUCCAGUGAGCAGUCCCUUACUCACUGCUCCUCAGGAGAAAAGGAAUGAAAAGUUCAAGAAAGAAUAUAUUGGGUAGUACUUCUCUUACUCAUGGAGGUGAAUCUGACUGAAGACAACACAUGUUCUUGGUCAUAAAUAAAAGUGGAGACCAGCCUGCAUGACUGAGGCCUGCUUGGAAAUGAGACUGAU